rnacentral:rRNA from 1 species
AUUGAACGCUGGCGGCAGGCCUAACACAUGCAAGUCGAGCGGAUGAAGGGAGCUUGCUCCUGGAUUCAGCGGCGGACGGGUGAGUAAUGCCUAGGAAUCUGCCUGGUAGUGGGGGAUAACGUCCGGAAACGGGCGCUAAUACCGCAUACGUCCUGAGGGAGAAAGUGGGGGAUCUUCGGACCUCACGCUAUCAGAUGAGCCUAGGUCGGAUUAGCUAGUUGGUGGGGUAAAGGCCUACCAAGGCGACGAUCCGUAACUGGUCUGAGAGGAUGAUCAGUCACACUGGAACUGAGACACGGUCCAGACUCCUACGGGAGGCAGCAGUGGGGAAUAUUGGACAAUGGGCGGAAGCCUGAUCCAGCCAUGCCGCGUGUGUGAAGAAGGUCUUCGGAUUGUAAAGCACUUUAAGUUGGGAGGAAGGGCAGUAAGUUAAUACCUUGCUGUUCUGACGUUACCAACAGAAUAAGCACCGGCUAACUUCGUG